rnacentral:rRNA from 1 species
CCUACGGGGGGCAGCAGUAGGGAAUCUUCCACAAUGGGCGAAAGCCUGAUGGAGCAACGCCGCGUGGGUGAAGAAGGUCUUCGGAUCGUAAAACUCUGUUGUUAGAGAAGAAAGUGCGUGAGAGUAACUGUUCACGUUUCGACGGUAUCUAACCAGAAAGCCACGGCUAACUACGUGCCAGCAGCCGCGGUAAUACGUAGGUGGCAAGCGUUAUCCGGAUUUAUUGGGCGUAAAGGGAACGCAGGCGGUCUUUUAAGUCUGAUGUGAAAGCCUUCGGCUUAACCGGAGUAGUGCAUUGGAAACUGGGAGACUUGAGUGCAGAAGAGGAGGGUGGAACUCCAGGUGUAGCGGUGAAAUGCGUAGAUAUAUGGAAGAACACCAGUGGCGAAAGCAGCUCUCUGGUCUGUAACUGACGCUGAGGUUCGAAAGCGUGGGUAGCAAACAGGAUUAGAUACCCGUGUAGUC